UACAGAGGGGGCAAGCGUUGUUCGGAAUUACUGGGCGUAAAGGGCGCGUAGGCGGCCUUUCUAAGUCGAACGUGAAAUCCCUGGGCUCAACCCAGGAACUGCGUCCGAUACUGGAAGGCUUGAAUCCGGGAGAGGGAUGCGGAAUUCCAGGUGUAGCGGUGAAAUGCGUAGAUAUCUGGAGGAACACCGGUGGCGAAGGCGGCAUCCUGGACCGGCAUUGACGCUGAGGCGCGAAAGCUAGGGGAGCAAACGGGG
rnacentral:rRNA from 1 species